rnacentral:misc_RNA from 1 species
GAUGAAGAACGCAGCGAAAUGCGAUACGUAAUGUGAAUUGCAGAAUUCAGUGAAUCAUCGAAUCUUUGAACGCAUAUUGCGCUCUCUGGUAUUCCGGAGAGCAUGCUUGUUUGAGUAUCGGUAAACACCUCAACUUCCAUAUCUUUUUUGAAAUGGGAGUUGGACUUGAGUGAUCCCAACGCUUUUCCUCACCGAAAAGUGGCGGGUUACUUGAAAUGCAGGUGCAGCUGGACUUUUCUCUGAGCUAUAAGCAUAUCUAUUUAGUCUGCCUAAAAAACAGAUUAUUACCUUUGCUGCAGCUAACAUAAAGGAGAUUAGUUCUUGUGCUGACUGAUGCAGGAUUCACAAAGACGGCUUCGGCCGACUUUGUAAACUCGAUCUCAAAUCAAGUAAGACUACCCGCUGAACUUAAGCAUAUCAAUAAGCGGAGGA